AAAUAGGGCAACUAGUCCUCAAACUGGUGGUCAGCAAACAGGGGGAAGUUUGAAAUCAAUGAAAGAGAAAUCCAAUCAGCCAGAAAAAGAAGUGCAGGAGGCUUCUGGCUUAAAGACUGCCGGUCCCGAAGGAGAAAUAACUGCAGGUUUUUUGUUAAAGAAAAGUGCAAAAAAUGAUGGAUGGAGCAAGCUAUGGUUUGUUUUGAAUGAAAAGACUGGGAAGCUUGGUUACACAAAAAAGCAAGAGGAGAGACAUUUUCGUGGUGUCAUCCCAUUGGAGGAAUGCAAUAUUGAAGAGGUUUCAGGCGAGGAAGAGCCUCCCUCAAAGAGUUCAAAGGAUAAAAAGGCCAAUGGACCAGAUUCUAAAGCACCCAGCCUUGUGUUCAAAAUAACUAGCAAGAUUCCCUAUAAAACCGUUUUGAAAGCCCACAGUGCUGUUGUUUUAAAGGCUGAGACUUUGGCUGAUAAGGUUGAAUGGAUAAACAAGAUAUCAAAAAUUGCACAAUCUUCUACAGGACAAAUGAGAAAUGCUUCUCCUGAAGGUGGUUCUACCUUGCGGCAGAGUCAUUCUGAUGGUUCUCUGGUAUGUUACUGACUUAACUAGCUGCUCCAUUUUACUUUCUCAGAAUUACUUUUUGAGUACUUUUGCCGCUAUCAGGCCUUUGAUUCAAUUUCAUGGUGCUUACAACAAUGACUUACUGUUCUUUGUGGUUUGAUGUACUUGGUUCACUUCUCCAUUAUUUGGUAACCCUGUAAAUGGCAAUUGUAACUGGCAAUUUUUUCUACCACCUGCUUGUGUUUAUGUUCUGAGAGGACAUCCACUCAAUUUAGUACAUUUGUGGCUAGUGUUUCGAAGUUCUCAAAAAAAAAAAAAAAAAGG
rnacentral:misc_RNA from 1 species